CGACAACUUCGUUUCCUCGGUAGUCACCAUUCCGCUUGGGAGGGGCGCCGGGAUCGUCGUCGGAAAUAAAGCCGCGGGAAUAAUUUCUCAUAGCUGUAGAAUCUCAGCAGCAUUGGAGGCGGCAGAGCCUUUGAUAUUGAAAUGAGGCAAUCAGAUGGAUAAAGUGAGGAAUUAACAGAGCAAUGACAUAUCUAUCAAGAAAGCAAUAUCAAUUGUGAUGGAUAGGAACCCAAAUUUAAGGCAAAAAGGCGUUUCGUAUGAAGUCUUACAAUGGUAUAUUUGUAGAAUAGAGGCUUGGUUUGUUGCUGAUGCAGAAGACAUAUUGCUGGCUUUCAAGAGGAAAUUCGAAGACAGAAUGUUUGAAUUUCAGACUCUAAAAGAGAACAAUACAACAAGAUUAUCGGUGCAGUUAUUGAGAGGCGUGUAUUUACAGUGACAAGAACUCGACCUGAUGAAGCGGUGAAGCUAGUAUUCCUUAGUAUUUCAUUUAAGAUGUGUUAAAAUAUUUUCAUUUGCUGAAAUCAUUCAUCUUCAGACAGUUGAAAGAUUGAUAGAGACAGGGGACAGUGAGCAAAUUUUUUAGAAUGCAAUCUGCCAGAAAAGCCGAGGACAGGUGUAUGAAAACUCCCAUUUGUUCGUUUGCCCAUCCUCUUCCAUUUUCUGCUUCUUCUCCAUGGCAGUGUUUUAUGAAUUGUUGGCAUAUAUAGAAGAAACACGACAGAGAAUUUUAAUUUAGGAGCCAUAUAUUUGUCUCAACUAUAAAACUAGACUAAAUUUUUGCAACCAUUAAAUAACACAUAGUAUUGAUGUAAAUUAUGUCAUUUGAAAUUCAAGAACGGCAUGAAGCAGCUAAAGAUUUAAAGAAAAGGCUUUUCGAUCUGCAACAGGUAUAUUAGAUUUUUCUCAUAUUGAUUGAUGAUCAUAUGCAUUAAAGUUUAGAAGUAAAGCUCAUGUUUCUCAGAAAGUAUAAGAUGUUUCCCAAGGUUAAGAUGAAUUGAUCCCCAUAUUUUUCCAUGUGUUUCCUUUGAUAAUAAUACCGAUCAUAUGAUCAAUGUGAGGUUCUGAGCUGAUUAGCUUGUUAGCAAAUUCAGUUUAUGAUUAGUUUUCUGAUACCCCAAAUCCCCAACCAUUCCUACUUCAAAAUUUUAGAUGAGAUAUACAUUGCAAAUCUGGCUAUUUCAUAUGAAGCAUAGCUGGGAAAAUGAACCGGAGAAACGAAUUGAAAACAUCCAUGAAGCCCUAUAAGUUCUUGUCCUUAUUCUAGUUUGAUUGUACUAAAUGCUUAUAGCCUUUCAAUUUAUCAUAUCAAUCCAGAUUCAUAGGCUCUGCAUAAUGUGAGAUAGAAGAAUUUGACUCUAUUUUCAUAUUCCGUGAGGAACAAUUUCGUCUUCCUUGUACAGUGGAAGGAAAGAGUACAAAUAAGAAAGAUAAUAAAACCAAAUGAUUUACCUAAAUUUACUGAUU